rnacentral:rRNA from 1 species
GGAGGGUACAAGCGUUGUUCGGAAUUAUUGGGCGUAAAGAGCGUGUAGGCGGUCCGGUAAGUCAGAUGUGAAAGCCCUGGGCUCAACCCAGGAAGUGCAUUUGAAACUACCAGACUUGAGUACGGGAGAGGAGGGGGAAUUCCCGGUGUAGAGGUGAAAUUCGUAGAUAUCGGGAGGAAUACCAGUGGCGAAGGCGCCCCUCUGGACCGAUACUGACGCUGAGACGCGAAAGCGUGGGGAGCAAGCAGGAUUAGAUACCCUGGGUAGUCCACGCCGUAAACGAUGAGCACUAGGUGUAGCGGGUAUUGACCCCCCUGCUGUGCCGUAGCUAACGCAUUAAGUGCUCCGCCUGGGGGACUACGGUCGCAAGACUA